rnacentral:rRNA from 1 species
CCUACGGGUGGCAGCAGUGAGGAAUAUUGGUCAAUGGACGAGAGUCUGAACCAGCCAAGUCGCGUGAAGGAUGACUGCCCUAUGGGUUGUAAACUUCUUUUAUAUGGGAAUAAAACGUUCCACGUGUGGGAUUUUGUAUGUACCAUAUGAAUAAGGAUCGGCUAACUCCGUGCCAGCAGCCGCGGCAAUACGGAGGAUCCGAGCGUUAUCCGGAUUUAUUGGGUUUAAAGGGAGCGUAGGUGGAUUGUUAAGUCAGUUGUGAAAGUUUGCGGCUCAACCGUAAAAUUGCAGUUGAAACUGGCAGUCUUGAGUACAGUAGAGGUGGGCGGAAUUCGGGGUGUAGCGGUGAAAUGCUUAGAUAUCACGAAGAACUCCGAUGGCGAAGGCAGUUCACUGGACUGCAACUGACACUGAGGCUCGAAAGUGUGGGUAUCAAACAGGAUUAGAUACCCCAGUAGUC